CUCUGCCUACGGGGGGCAGCAGUGGGGAAUAUUGCACAAUGGGGGAAACCCUGAUGCAGCGACGCCGCGUGAAGGAAGAAGUAUUUCGGUAUGUAAACUUCUAUCAGCAGAGAAGAGAAUGACGGUACCUGACUAAGAAGCCCCGGCUAACUACGUGCCAGCAGCCGCGGUAAUACGUAGGGGGCAAGCGUUAUCCGGAUUUACUGGGUGUAAAGGGAGCGUAGGCGGCGAUGCAAGUCAGAAGUGAAAGCCCGGGGCUCAACUCCGGGACUGCUUUUGAAACUGUGUUACUAGAUUGCAGGAGA
rnacentral:rRNA from 1 species